UACGUAGGGGGCUAGCGUUGUCCGGAAUCAUUGGGCGUAAAGCGCGUGUAGGCGGCCCGGUAAGUCCGCUGUGAAAGUCGGGGGCUCAACCCUCGGAUGCCGGUGGAUACUGUCGGGCUUGAGUGCGGAAGAGGCGAGUGGAAUUCCUGGUGUAGCGGUGGAAUGCGCAGAUAUCAGGAGGAACACCAAUAGCGAAGGCAGCUCGCUGGGACGUUACUGACACUGAGGCGCGAAGCGUGGGGAGCGAACAGGAUUAG
rnacentral:rRNA from 1 species